AAGGUCCUCUUCUGGACAGCAGAGGAGGCCAGAGUGAAGAAGAAAAGCAGCAGCUCGCUGACGGAGAACCCUGGCCACGUCGUCAUCUUCCCCUUGGAUGUCGUACCGCCACAUCUGCGAGAUGUACAAGAAGACUGAUGCAUACGUCGGGACAACGGAAGAGACUCUGACACGAGGGGCAUGGAGAAAC